UCCUAACUCUGGCGGCGUGCUUAACACAUGCAAGUCGAACGGAAAGGCCCUGCUUUUGUGGGGUGCUCGAGUGGCGAACGGGUGAGUAACCCGUGAGUAACCUGCCCUUGACUUUGGGAUAACUUCAGGAAACUGGGGCUAAUACCGGAUAGGAGCUCCUGCUGCAUGGUGGGGGUUGGAAAGUUUCGGCGGUUGGGGAUGGACUCGCGGCUUAUCAGCUUGUUGGUGGGGUAGUGGCUUACCAAGGCUUUGACGGGUAGCCGGCCUGAGAGGGUGACCGGCCACAUUGGGACUGGGAUACGGCCCAGACUCCUACGGGAGGCAGCAGUGGGGAAUAUUGCACAAUGGGCGGAAGCCUGAUGCAGCAACGCCGCGUGCGGGAUGACGGCCUUCGGGUUGUAAACCGCUUUCGCCUGUGACGAAGCGGGAGUGACGGUAAUGGGUAAAGAAGCACCGGCUAACUACGUG
rnacentral:rRNA from 1 species